GACGAACGCUGGCGGCAUGCCUAACACAUGCAAGUCGAACGAGACCUUCGGGUCUAGUGGCGCACGGGUGCGUAACGCGUGGGAAUCUGCCCUUGGGUACGGAAUAACAGCGAGAAAUUGCUGCUAAUACCGUAUAAUGACGUAAGUCCAAAGAUUUAUCGCCCAGGGAUGAGCCCGCCGUAGGAUUAGCUUGUUGGUGAGAUAAAAGACUCACCAAGGCGACGAUCCUUAGCUGGUCUGAGAGGAUGAUCAGCCACACUGGGACUGAGACACGGCCCAGACUCCUACGGGA
rnacentral:rRNA from 1 species